UACAGAGGGUGCGAGCGUUGUCCGGAAUCACUGGGCGUAAAGCGUGCGUAGGCGGUUUGUUAAGUCCGCUGUGAAAGCCCUGGGCUCAACCUGGGAAUUGCAGUGGAUACUGGCAAGCUAGAGUGCGGUAGAGGAUGGUGGAAUUCCCGGUGUAGCGGUGAAAUGCGUAGAGAUCGGGAGGAACACCCGUGGCGAAGGCGGCCUUCUGGGUCGACCCUGACGCUGAGAGGCGAAAGCGUGGGGAGCGAACGGG
rnacentral:rRNA from 1 species